rnacentral:tRNA from 1 species
GAGGGUAUAGCUCAAGUAAUAGAGUGCAUGCUUAGUAUGCAGGGGGUCCUGGGUUCAAUCCCCAGUCCUUCCU